UGGAUAUGAUGAAAACAGAGGCGUGGCACUGGUUUGAGUGAUGCGUGAUUGGUUACAGCAACUUUAAUACAUAGAUGCAGUUGUAAUGUUUAAUUAUCUAAUCCUUUAACUAGAGUAAAUCGUGUGUGUGUGUGUGUGUGUGUGUGUGUGUGUCUGAUGGGUCAGGGUGUCAAAGGUCAUAGGUCACUGCUGAUACAGGAGUGCAUCUGAGGCAGCCGCUCACUCACACUGAGGCUUUUUUGCGGUCUAGCCGAUGAUUAGAGCCUCUGUAUCAUUCUGACCCUCGGCCGUCAGUGCCACGAUCUCAAAAGGGGCUCGCCCCGUGGUCUGAUCCGA